rnacentral:rRNA from 1 species
CAGUCGCCACGGUAAAACGUAGGGUGCAAGCGUUAAUCGGAAUUACUGGGCGUAAAGCGUGCGCAGGCGGUCCGCUAAGACAGAUGUGAAAUCCCCGGGCUUAACCUGGGAACUGCAUUUGUGACUGGCGGGCUAGAGUAUGGCAGAGGGGGGUAGAAUUCCACGUGUAGCAGUGAAAUGCGUAGAGAUGUGGAGGAAUACCGAUGGCGAAGGCAGCCCCCUGGGCCAAUACUGACGCUCAUGCACGAAAGCGUGGGGAGCAAACAGGAUUAGAUACCCCCGUAGUCCCUGUCUCUUAUAC